rnacentral:rRNA from 1 species
CAGCAGCCGCGGUAAUACGAAGGGUGCAAGCGUUAAUCGGAAUUACUGGGCGUAAAGCGUGCGUAGGCGGUGAGUUAAGUCUGCUGUGAAAUCCCCGGGCUCAACCUGGGAAUGGCAGUGGAUACUGGCUCGCUAGAGUGUGUCAGAGGAUGGUGGAAUUCCCGGUGUAGCGGUGAAAUGCGUAGAGAUCGGGAGGAACAUCAGUGGCGAAGGCGGCCAUCUGGGACAACACUGACGCUGAGGCACGAAAGCGUGGGGAGCAAACAGGAUUAGAUACCCCCGUAGUCCCUGUCUCUUAUAC